rnacentral:rRNA from 1 species
GACGUAGGGCGCGAGCGUUGUCCGGAUUUAUUGGGCGUAAAGAGCUCGUAGGCGGCUUGUCGCGUCGUUCGUGAAAACCUGCAGCUCAACUGCAGGCUUGCGGUCGAUACGGGCAGGCUGGAGUUCGGUAGGGGAGACUGGAAUUCCUGGUGUAGCGGUGAAAUGCGUAGAUAUCUGGAGGAACACCGGUGGCGAAGGCGGCAUCCUGGACCAACACUGACACUGAUGAGCGAAAGCCAGGGGAGCAAACGGG